AUUCUUCAAAAUACAAUGGAGGAAGAAUGAGGAUUUGCUCUGAAUCUGGAUGAUAUAAGAAGACAGAGCACCAGGAUAAAAGUCAGGAAAUGUGGAUGCCAGUCUCCAUUCCAAGGUCCUCCUGGGGAAACAACAGGUCCAUAUUUCUGACUGUGCAGAAAUUGGAGGCCCACACCAAGCAGUGUGACAUACUUGAAUGAGAAAAUAAUGGAGUGAUCCCAGGGACUCAGGAGUCAUGGCAGAGGAAUUUAUUGCUUAGCAACCCAGACAAAUGUCAAGAGUCUUACCAAAUGCAGAUGAUGCUCUGGGGAAGAGACUGCUCUCACUAG